rnacentral:rRNA from 1 species
ACUCCUACGGGAGGCAGCAGUGGGGAAUAUUGCACAAUGGGCGCAAGCCUGAUGCAGCCAUGCCGCGUGUAUGAAGAAGGCCUUCGGGUUGUAAAGUACUUUCAGCAGUGAGGAAGGUGAGUAGUAGUUAAUAGCUGCAUUAUUUGAUCGUUAGCAUAGCAGAAGAAGCGACCGCUAACUCCGUGCCAGCAGCCGCGGUAAUACGGAGGGUGCGAGCGUUAAUCGGAAUUACUGGGCGUAAAGCGCAUGCAGGUGGUUUGUUAAGUCAGAUGUGAAAGCCCGGGGCUCAACCUCGGAAUAUGAC